GCCAAAUGCUCUGUCAACAACUCCCAGUGCCAUAUCCCCAGGCAUGGGGACCUGACAUGAGGCUCAGGACUCUCACUCCCUUAGGAAUGGUGAUCCCUGAAGUGACUAGAGCUGCAGGUGGUGCCUGAACAUGGACCCCUUCGUAGUGAUUGGCUGCGUCUACCUUGUGAGUCUGAGAUGGCUGUGGUGGUUUGCACUUGGUUCCUGUAGCCCGUGCAAGACCCAUCAUUCAACCUUAAUCAUCUCUGCUGUCCUUGGUCCUGAAGGAAUGCCCUAUACUUCGUACUAUCAAGGCUCCCCCAUGGCCUGAGCUCACGGGAUAGACUCAUCAUCCCUUACCUGAUGGGAAGCAGCUGCAAAACGGAUCCAGCCAUCAUCCAAGGAGACGACAAACUCUCCCCGUUGGAGCUGCACGUUCACUUGGCCUCCUCCGAACAAGACCAGCGGGUACACAGACACCAUGCUGCAGUCUCGGAUGAAUACCCGACUAGUUUUGAUCUUCUCGUGGUACACCAGGUAAGGGCUGUCAAAGUGUCUGACCUGGAACGUAUGACAGUGAUGUCACUGGCAACAUAAGGGGAACUCCGCCAGUCCCAUGGAUCUAACUGUCACCUGUCCAACGACUCCCAAAAUGAUCUUCAGCCUGAGCUCCAGACUUGUAUGUGCAACUGCUUACUUGACGUUUCACCUGGACAGUGAACAAGCACCUCAGAUUUCUUGUGUGCAAAAGGAAAUCUCGAUUUUGCCCUCCCUGCGGUGUUCACCGUCUCCCAUUCACCCAGUUGCUUCAGGCCCAGAUUUUGAGCCAUCCUUGAUUGCUCUCUUUCCUUCACUCCAUCUACAUCAUCACUAAGCCCUGUCAGCUCUGUUAUCAAAAUACAUGAUGAAUUGACAUAUUUUUACCGCUUCUACAGCUACCACCUCGUACAAACUCUCAUCUCAAAUAGACCACAGCAAUGGCUUCCUAUGUACUUGC